AUUGAACGCUGGCGGCAUGCCUUACACAUGCAAGUCGAACGGUAACAAGUCUUCGGAUGCUGACGAGUGGCGAACGGGUGAGUAAUACAUCGGAACGUGCCUAGUAGUGGGGGAUAACUACUCGAAAGAGUGGCUAAUACCGCAUGAGAUCUACGGAUGAAAGCAGGGGAUCGCAAGACCUUGUGCUACUAGAGCGGCCGAUGGCAGAUUAGGUAGUUGGUGGGAUAAAAGCUUACCAAGCCGACGAUCUGUAGCUGGUCUGAGAGGACGAUCAGCCACACUGGGACGGAGACACGGCCCAGACUCCUAAGGGAGGCAGCAGUGUGGAAUUUUGGACAAUAGGCGCAAGCCUGAUCCAGCAAUGCCGCGUGCAGGAUGAAGGCCUUCGGGUUGUAAACUGCUUUUGUACGGAACGAAAAGCCCCGGGUUAAUACCCUGGGGUCAUGACGGUACCGUAAGAAUAAGCACCGGCUAACUACGUGCCAGCAGCCGCGGUAA
rnacentral:rRNA from 1 species